GUACACAUCCAAGGAAGGCAGCAGGCGCGCAAAUUACCCACUCCCGGGCUCGGGGAGGUAGUGACGAAAAAUAACAAUACGGGACUCUUUUGAGACCCCGUAAUUGGAAUGAGUACACUCUAAAUCCUUUAACGAGGAUCCAUUGGAGGGAAAGUCUGGUGCCAGCCGCCGCGGUAACUCCAGCUCCAAUAGCGUAUAUUAAAGUUGUUGCGGUUAAAAAGCUCGUAGUUGGAUCUCAGUUCCAGACGGGUGGUCCGCCUACCGGUGGUCACUGCCUGUUCUGAGCAUUGCCGCCGAAAUUGUCCGAUGAUCUUUACCGGUUGUCGUUCGGUUUCGGCAAUUUUACUUUGAAAAAAUUAGAGUGCUCAAAGCAUGCGUGACGCAUGAAUAAUGGUGCAUGGAAUAAUGGAAUAGGACCUCGGUUCUAUUUUGUUGGUUUUCGGAACACGAGGUAAUGAUUAAGAGGGACAGACGGGGGCAUUCGUAUUGCGACGCUAGAGGUGAAAUUCUUGGACCGUCGCAAGACGAACUACUGCGAAAGCAUUUGCCAAGAAUGUUUCCAUUAAUCAAGAACGAAAGUUAGAGGUUCGAAGGCGAUCAGAUACCGCCCUAGUUCUAACCAUAAACGAUGCCAGCCAGCGAUCCGGCUGUGUUCCUCAAAUGACACGCCGGGCAGCUUCCGGGAAACCAAAGCUUUUGGGUUCCGGGGGAAGUAUGGUUCAG
rnacentral:rRNA from 1 species